UUGAACGCUGGCGGCAUGCCUAACACAUGCAAGUCGAGCGGUAACAGGCCCGCAAGGGUGCUGACGAGCGGCGGACGGGUGAGGAAUGCAUAGGAAUCUGCCUUAGAGUGGGGGAUAGCCGGGGGAAACCCCGAUUAAUACCGCAUGAUGUCGAAAGACCAAAGUGGGGGAUCGUAAGACCUCACGCUCUAAGAUGAGCCUAUGCCCGAUUAGCUAGUUGGCGGGGUAAUGGCCCACCAAGGCAACGAUCGGUAGCUGGUCUGAGAGGACGAUCAGCCACACCGGAACUGAGACACGGUCCGGACUCCUACGGGAGGCAGCAGUGGGGAAUAUUGGACAAUGGGCGAAAGCCUGAUCCAGCAAUGCCGCGUGUGUGAAGAAGGCCUUCGGGUUGUAAAGCACUUUAGGCCGGGAAGAAAAAAUCGAACCUAACACGUUCGGUCUUGACGGUACCGGCGAAAUAAGCGACGGCUAACUCUGU
rnacentral:rRNA from 1 species